rnacentral:rRNA from 1 species
UACGUAGGGGGCGAGCGUUGUCCGGAUUUAUUGGGCGUAAAGAGCGUGUAGGCGGCUUUGCAGGUCCGCUGUGAAAACUCGAGGCUCAACCUCGAGCUGUCGGUGGAAACCGUGAAGCUAGAGUCCGGAAGAGGAGAGUGGAAUUCCCGGUGUAGCGGUGAAAUGCGCAGAUAUCGGGAAGAACACCCGUGGCGAAGGCGGCUCUCUGGGACGGUACUGGACGCUGAGACGCGAAAGCGUGGGGAGCGAACAGG